rnacentral:rRNA from 1 species
AUGAACGCUGGCGGCGUGCCUAAUACAUGCAAGUCGCGCGAACAGACGAGGAGCUUGCUCCUCUGACGUUAGCGGCGGACGGGUGAGUAACACGUGGAUAACCUACCUAUAAGACUGGGAUAACUUCGGGAAACCGGAGCUAAUACCGGAUAAUAUAUUGAACCGCAUGGUUCAAUAGUGAAAGACGGUUUUGCUGUCACUUAUAGAUGGAUCCGCGCCGCAUUAGCUAGUUGGUAAGGUAACGGCUUACCAAGGCAACGAUGCGUAGCCGACCUGAGAGGGUGAACGGCCACACUGGAACUGAGACACGGUCCAGACUCCUACGGGAGGCAGCAGUAGGGAAUCUUCCGCAAUGGGCGAAAGCCUGACGGAGCAACGCCGCGUGAGUGAUGAAGGUCUUCGGAUCGUAAAACUCUGUUAUUAGGGAAGAACAAAUGUGUAAGUAACUAUGCACGUCUUGACGGUACCUAAUCAGAAAGCCACGGCUAACUACGUG